UCCCCGCGCUCUGCCGACCCAAAUCCGUAAACGAAACCCUCACCGCAGCCCGCUACUCUCUCCGUCACGAUCACCAGCUUCAGGAACCUCGGCCGCCCUGCCGGCCCCGCGGCUCCAUGCUCAGGACGAUGGUGUCGCAGCUGGUCAAGCACGAGCGCAUCGAGACCACGGUCGCGAAGGCGAAGCAAGUCCGGCGAAUUGCUGAUAACAUGGUGCAGCUGGGGAAGGCAUGUUUAAAUUCUCUGCUUGUUGAUUCUGAUUCUUAGGGUCCUUGGUUUCGGAUUCGUUGUAGCAGUUUUAAAAUGCUUCAUCGUAUUAAUGUACGAUUGGAAGCACAAUGUUAGGGUAAAUGAUUCUCACAGAACUUUAGGAAGUUGAUGGAUGAAUUUAAGGAGGAUUUGGUGAUACAAGCACAAGCACUUUGUUGUUUUUGAUGAAAUUUUUUUAAUGAUAUUUUCUUGCUAAAA